GCCAGCAGCCAUAUCACCCUGCAACUCACAACUGGCAACCCACUGAAGCUAAGCAGGUCUGAGCCUGGUCAGUACCUGGAUGGGAGACCUCCUGGUAAAAAAAAAACUAAGGUUGCUGCUGGAA
rnacentral:rRNA from 1 species